UGUUUAGUGUUGGUUAAACCUUGCAGAACUGUUUCGGAGAUUCUUUUUGUUAUUUUGUAUUCAGUGUUCAGUCAGUUAAGCUAAUGCAUUUUGGUCCAAUAACUCUUCUUCUUCCGACAAAAGCCGUGACACAUAUAAUAUUCAAGUUGUGGACUAGAUGAAGGGACAGAUCUGUGGAAAGGCUGAUGGGGAAGUCAGACAGGAAUACCAUACACCCAGUGGAUGCCUGACCAAUAGCCCAGUCAGCUUCACCCAUUCCUGGGUGCUUCCUUCCGAAAACUGCCGUGACAAGUCUGAUCGAGUCUGUAAAGCUGGAGAAGCACGUGAUUGUUGAUGGCAAGGAGUCCAAAUGCUACUGAGUAUGUGAUGCGCUGUCUGCCUGGCUGCCUCCCAGUGAGGACCAUCCCUGUCACCAGUGGUUUCUAACUGCCU